GCUGUAGGGAGGCAGAGGCGCUGGGGAGCCCCAGGCUGUAGCCUAGCACAAGACCAAGGGAUACUGGGGGUUGCAGAGGGCAGCCCAGGGGUAGGCUAAGGCAGCAGGUCCAAAUCCUCCUUGCCAGUGAUAAGUGGCUGAUACUGCAGUCUGCCCCACGGAAUGGGGGCUAGAUGGAGACUGAGUAGUAGCCAAAAGUGGGUUGCAGGUUCCCCAGUGAGUGGUGACCCAGAUUGGUGGGGUACUGCCAGGGGGCAGCACCCCGGUUAAAAGGGCACCAGGGUCUAGGGAGGGACAUGGGGCCCAAGAGGACAGGUGGAUCACUGGCCUGCAGAGGGCACUUCGGGAGGCUGGAAAAAGCGCUAAUUCCCAGAAAGCACUAGCAGGAGGCACCGCAGGGUAAAUCUCUAUUCCUUUAUGACUGCAGACUAAACCCUGAGAACCUGAAACAGGGGUAAACAGUAGAAUGCUGCACAGAGACGACAUCAGCAACUCGGAGACCUGAACUUCCCCAUUAAUCUCAGAGUGUUCUUUUAGAUGCUCGGUGAUGACAAUAUAAAUGGCAACAUCUUCAUUAACUAUUUCCAGGAUACCAGAUUAUGUGAGAAAGGUGAAGAAGGAUCACAGAUUUGCAGUCUACUGCUGUCUGUGAUGAAGAGCUUUUCCCUUCUCUCCCCUGGAGAGGUCUGGCGAGAGAUGAUGAUCUCCCUGGAUUUGGUGGUGGUGUUCUUCACAGAAGCACAGAAAUGGCAUUGUGCCAAACCCCACUGGAUUCCAACCUGAAAAAAGUUUGGUUCAGAAUCUACAUUCAAUAUAUUCUAAAUUCUGCACAAAGUGUUCCUGUCAAAAUUCAUUGCUGAUAACUCCUGUGAACAAAGUUUUGACAUCAGAAGUGUGUAAUAUAGGCGUCAAUCUUUUUACGUAUUCAUCACACAACUUAAAAUAGAAAGAAAAGUAAAAACAAAAAUACUUGAUGUUACUGCAACACUAUGGUUAAAAAUUUAAAUAUACAAAGGGCAGGAUAUUUAAAGUCGUUUC